GAUGAAGAACGCAGCGAAAUGCGAUAAGUAAUGUGAAUUGCAGAAUUCAGUGAAUCAUCGAAUCUUUGAACGCACAUUGCGCCCGCCAGUAUUCUGGCGGGCAUGCCUGUUCGAGCGUCAUUACAACCCUCAGGCCCCCGGGCCUGGCGUUGGGGAUCGGCGGAAGCCCCCUGCGGGCACAACGCCGUCCCCCAAAUACAGUGGCGGUCCCGCCGCAGCUUCCAUUGCGUAGUAGCUAACACCUCGCAACUGGAGAGCGGCGCGGCCACGCCGUAAACACCCAACUUCUUAAUGUUGACCUCGAAUCAGGUAGGAAUACCCGCUGAACUUAAGCAUAUCAAUAAGCGGAGGA
rnacentral:misc_RNA from 1 species